GAGAAGAGAAUUAUUGGGAAAAUACAUCUACUUAGUCCGUAAAGUUGUCCUUUUUUUAACAACCCUUUCAGGAAGCAUUCUUUGGUGGUGAUGCAUCAUCCUUGUUAUUAAAAUAUAUAACAUAGGCUUUCAUCAGACAAAAAGACUGCGGUUGUGUUCUUAGCAAUGAUGAUAAUGGUGUAUGGGUGAUGAUGAGAUCAGAUAACAUAAACUUUUGAGAACUCACAGUAAGAGUUGAAGCAAAGUUAGCUAACCUCUGAUGAUGGUAGAGCCCUUAGGCCUUGACCAGUAGAGUUUGUUGGCGCCAUUUCGUCUAAUAGCAGAUUGACCAGCAGCUUAGCAAAUUCAAAAUUCCCUCACGGUACCUGUCUUCAAAACACUCAGGUUCGAUUCUAGGCAUGAACUGUUUCUUGUUACUUUUCACUUCAAAUCAUUUCCCUUCUUUAUAAACAAUAUGAAAUAACCAUAAAUAUUAAA